rnacentral:rRNA from 1 species
UACGGAGGGGGCUAGCGUUGUUCGGAAUCAUUGGGCGUAAAGGGCGCGUAGGCGGCCGAUCAAGUCGGAGGUGAAAUCCCUCGGCUCAACUGAGGAAUUGCCUUCGAUACUGUUCGGCUUGAGUCCUGGAGAGGGUAGCGGAAUUCCUGGUGUAGCGGUGAAAUGCGCAGAUAUCAGGAGGAACACCGAUGGCGAAGGCAGCUCGCUGGGGCGGUACUGACGCUGAGACGCGAAAGCGUGGGGAGCAAACAGG